AUAUAUUCCAUGAGGUGGAUAAUUUGCUUAUUACUCCACCCCUAUGCCCAGAAACACCUCUACAAACAACAGAUGCUCAACAAAAACUGUUGCGUGAAUAAUGCAAAGAAGAGACCAAUAAUGCUAAAAGAGACCAAUGGAUGGCAAGCUCUGUCUGCUGAUGGGACUCGUGAGGACAUGGAACAUUUUCCCUGUCACAGAAGCUAUCAUUCAUUAGAGAUGUAGCAGGCAAUAACUUUAAUGUCCACUGGAAUGGCUCUGUGGAAGCUGCCCUGCCAAAGAAAACAGGUGCUCGAUGGCUGUGGAACAAGUCUGAGCAGAGAAUCCAAGCUGAACACUGACACACGUGACCACCGUUCUCAGGGCUGCAGAGAUCAG
rnacentral:lncRNA from 1 species